rnacentral:rRNA from 1 species
UGAGGAAUAUUGGUCAAUGGGCGAGAGCCUGAACCAGCCAAGUAGCGUGCAGGAUGACGGCCCUAUGGGUUGUAAACUGCUUUUGUAUGGGGAUAAAGUCAGUCACGUGUGAUUGUUUGCAGGUACCAUACGAAUAAGGACCGGCUAAUUCCGUGCCAGCAGCCGCGGUAAUACGGAAGGUCCGGGCGUUAUCCGGAUUUAUUGGGUUUAAAGGGAGCGUAGGCUGGAGAUUAAGUGUGUUGUGAAAUGUAGACGCUCAACGUCUGACUUGCAGCGCAUACUGGUUUCCUUGAGUACGCACAACGUUGGCGGAAUUCGUCAUGUAGCGGUGAAAUGCUUAGAUAUGACGAAGAACUCCGAUUGCGAAGGCAGCUGACGGGAGCGCAACUGACGCUGAAGCUCGAAGGUGCGGGUAUCGAACAGGAUUAGAUACCCUGGUAGUCCGCACAGUAAACGAUGGAUGCCCGCUGUUGGUACCUGGUAUCAGCGGCUAAGCGAAAGCAUUAAGCAUCCCACCUGGGGAGUACGCCGGCAACGGUG